rnacentral:misc_RNA from 1 species
AACGCACCUUGCACCCUUUGGCAUUCCGAAGGGUAUGCUCGUUUGAGUGUCAUUGUACUCUCACACUCCCAAUGCUUUUGGAUUGGGAGCGGUGGACUUGGGUGUUGCUGCUUUGCUGUGGCUCGCCUCAAAUGGAGUAGUGCAACUCUCGGUUGGACAUAGUACGGCGUGAUAAGUAUCUUCGCCGGCGCCUCACUUCGAGGGUGGCCGAUCGGGAGCUCUGUGCUUCAAACCGUCUUCGGACAAUCUUUGACAACUUGACCUCAAAUCGAGUAGGACUACCCGCUGAACUUAA